rnacentral:tRNA from 1 species
UGACUCAUAGCUCAAUGGCAGAGCAUCUGACUGUUAAUCAGACGGUUACAGGUUCAAGUCCUGUUGAGUCAG